rnacentral:lncRNA from 1 species
CGACAGUGGCGAACCCACAUUGUGAUUGGAAAAAAUAUUCUUGCCUAGGAAUAAUAUCCACGACCAAUAACAAUAACACAAGAGAGUAACAACGAUACCAAAUAUUUUAACGGGAUAAAAUACAAUAUCCCAGCGGAGCAAUAUUACCACUAUAAUACUACAACUUAAUAGUGUCAAGAAAUUACUACAACUUCAAAAGAAAUAAUACUCUUUAUUUUAAACAUCUCAUUACAAUAUUACUCUCACUCAUUAUUUAACUCACAUACUACAAUCUAUGAAUAACUCUCUCUAACUCUCUAUUGC